rnacentral:snoRNA from 1 species
AACGCAAAAAUUCACAGCCAUCCACAACGUUAAAGCAUUCUUUAGAGGUUGAAUCCCAAUGUGGCGUUCUUGACCCAUGACCAUUUCGGAUAUUGUUGUAGGAAAAGAUUAUUUAGACUUCGGUUUAAUUACUCUUUUCUUUUUUAGCGAUGGCCUGGAGAAUAAAAACCUAACAAUUGAUCUUGGGUGCAGCAUCCCAUGUGUUGAGCAAGUUCUUCUUGCUUCUAAGGAAUUGCCUUCGUGCGUCCGUAUGGGGGAUGGUGCAAGGAUCAAUGGUACAUUU